rnacentral:rRNA from 1 species
UUCGUAGUGAACCUGCGGAAGGAUCAUUA